GGGCCCGUGGUCUAGUGGUAUGAUUCACGCUUAGGGUUCACUAUGAACACAUGUGUGAGGCCCCGGGUUCGACUCCCGGCGGGCCCC